UUUAUUUGCGUGCCAAAGUUGGUAACUGUAAACGAAGAGACCAUAUUUGCAGAGAGCAGCAAUUUCAAUCUUCACAUGUAGAAGACGAACUUUUGGAAUUGAUUCCCCAACUUUUGAUUCUUCUCCAUUCCGAGUUUGCAGCCUUUCAUUUUCAACGGAUGCUUUUGGUUUCCACUGUUCUUCUUCCCACCUAAUCGCUCAGCUUGGAAGUUUUCAUUGGAAUGGGAUUCUUCAGCACCGUAUUCGGAAUUCUCGGAUUCGGAAUCGGACUUCCUCUCGGACUCUUGAUCGGAUUCUUACUUUUCGUCUACUCGGAGCCUAAAGAUGUUAAGGAACCAGUUACGAGGCCUCUCUGUGAGUUGGACACAACUUCUUUGCAAAAUCUAAUGCCUGAAAUUCCAUUGUGGGUGAAAUACCCUGAUUAUGAUCGAAUGGACUGGUUAAACAAGUUUUUAUCGGACAUUUGGCCAUACCUUGAUAAGGCAAUUUGUGGUAGUAUAAGAGCGAUUGCCAAACCUAUAUUUUCAGAAUAUAUAGGGAAGUUUCAGAUUGAGGCUAUCGAGUUUGAGCAGCUAAGCCUUGGAACUCUUUCUCCAAAAUUUCAUGGUCUAAAAGUGUAUGAAACAAAUGAGAAUGAACUAGUGAUGGAACCAGCUAUCAAAUGGGCUGGCAAUCCUAAUAUAGUAGUGGCGGUGAAUAUCUUGUCUCUCCGGAUCAAAAUUCAGUUUGUAGAUCUACAGAUAUUUGCAAUGCCACGGUUGACUCUAAAGCCUCUUGUGCCUACUUUUCCUUGCUUUGCCAAUAUUGUAGCAUCUUUACUCGAAAAGCCACAAAUAGACUUUGGAUUGAAGAUAAUGGGAGCAGACAUCAUGUCUGUACCUGGCCUCUAUCGAUUUAUUCAGGAGACAAUAAAGAAACAAGUUGCAAGUCUCUACCUAUGGCCUCGAGUUCUUGAAAUUCCUAUCCUCGAUUCUUCCACAUUGGCUACAAGAAAGCCUGCGGGGAUUUUACACGUGAAGGUCGUACGAGCUACAAAACUCUUGAGGAUGGAUAUUUUAGGAACAUCCGAUCCAUAUGUCAAACUUAGACUGAUUGGUGGGGGGCCAGCAAAGAAAACGAGUGUCAAAAUGAGGAACUUGAAUCCUGUGUGGAAUGAGAAGUUCAAGCUUCUUGUGCAUGAUCCCAAGUCUCAAGUUCUUCAGUUAAAAGUUUAUGACUGGGACAAGGUUGGUGGACAUGAUAGAUUAGGAAUGCAGCUAGUUCCACUAAAUAUGCUUACGCCCUACAACACCAAGGAACUCGUGCUUGACUUGCAAAAGAACACAGAUAUCAACGAUCCCCAAAACAAGAAGCCUAGAGGAAAACUUGAAGUGGAGCUCAUGUAUACUCCUUUAAGAGAAGAAAGCAUGAGAGCUCUUGAAAACUCAAACAGUGACGUUCAGAGUGAAAGCAGAAGCAAUGUCGACAUUCAGAGUGAAAGCAGAAGCAAUGUCGAGCCGGAGAACCAGACAUCGGACAGAGCAGGUGUAUUAUCUGUGAAGGUCCAGGGAGCUUGGAAUGUCGAAGGGGAGAAGCACAACAAUCCUUAUGCUGUUAUACACUUGAGAGGCGAGAAGAGGAAAACGAAGAUGAUCAAGAAAACUCGUGACCCUUCAUGGAAUGAAGAAUUCCCAUUUAUGCUAGAGGAGCCUCCAAUUAAAGAAAAGAUUCAUAUCGAAGUUAUGAGCAAACGGACUGUCUUUAGCUUUCUGCACAAGGAAUCAUUGGGCCAUGUGGAAAUCAAUCUCGGGGAUGUGGUAAACAACGGGAGGAUAAACGAGAAGUACAAUCUGAUUAAUUCAAAGCACGGGAAGAUUCAUGUGGAAAUGCAAUGGACAAUGGCUUAAGAACUGGGAGUGAAGCCAUUUUGAGUGUACAAAGCUCCGAUAGAUUCCUCAUGGAAAGAAGAGGCCCAAGCGUUGAAAUUCCCUCAGCAAAUCAGGGGUAGGGAGGCAAAAAAUUAUCCGAGUAGAUCUCAUAUGCAACACGGAGGGUGAAAUUGUACGAUGUUCGGUCGGUAGGCUUUGGAGUUCUGUUAUACUGUGUCUACCAUAUCUUGUAAAGCCUGAAAAAGAGUAAUAGCAAAUAAGUUGCAAUGAGAAAGAGUAAUACCCUUAG